ensembl:lncRNA CPVL-AS2 CPVL antisense RNA 2
AGCCCAAGGCAUAAGCUGAAAUCUGUUGAUUUUAUUUACUUGCUGCUUCUUACUGAGCCACUGUUGGCAGAGUUGAAUUGAAAAGGUGCUAAGGGAAUAACUUUCUGAUUUUUUUUUUGAGCUGGAUAUUUUGCUAGCCAACCUCAGCACAGGACACCCAGAAGAAAAAUGAACCUACAUAACCACCCGGACUUGGAUGUGAAAUGUCCACUCUGCCUUCGCUGUGUGUGUGUAUGCCAGAGUCCUUCAAUUUGAUGGCAUUAAAAAAAAAAAAAAAAAAAAAGACAGGAGACAGCUAUGGAAAGAGAAUACAAACCAUGACUUUUAGACGUGAGAAAGGACAGUAAGCCUUCCUUUAAUUUAAUAAGCUCAGGUGAAAGAACUAGAGGCAAGUCCAAGUGUUUGCUGAGAUCAUGGAAUAAUCAGAACUCUUAUACUUUACCGGCAAGAAUAAUCAAUUUGGAAAACAGUUUAACAUUAUCUAGUGAGGCUGACACAGACACAAGGAGAUAUGUGCAAAAAUGUCCAUAGCAGCACUAUCUGUAGAAGCAAAAUACUGAAAACAACCCAAAUGUCCAUCGGCAGUGGAAUGGGUGAAUAACACGUAUAUGAUGAAAUACUAUGCAGCAAUGAAAAAGAAUAAGACACAAUUGAGCAUAUCAACAUGGGUGAAUCUCACAUACAGCGUUGAAUAGCAAAAGUAUGUUUUUGCAAAAUACAUACAGAAUAAUUUCUUUUCUAUAAAAUUAAACAUGAAAAGUAAAAUAUUAUAUAUGGAUACGUAUGUCUGCAGUAAAACUAUUAACAAAGAAAAAAGAAAGGGGAUGGUAAAAGCAAAAUUCAGGACAGUAGUCUACCUCCAGGGGUAAUUAGGAAGGGCAAUGUCGUAUUUUUUAAACCAGCUGGUGAGUACAAAAGUGUUCAUUUAUCACUGUUUUAUCUUAGACAGCAUGGUAAAUAUUCUUUGGUAUGUAUUCAAUUUUAAAUUUAAAAGAAGAAAAGAAAAACCACCUGCUGAUGCUGCCAUCCUUGCAAAAAUGAAUCUUUAGGAAAUUUAACAUGUUCUCUGCUGUGCUUUUUUCUUCUCCCCUACACAGAGAUGAUGAGAUUGGCCCCAUGUCUGAAAAACAGUAUGUGGGGAAGGCCUGGAGAAGCAAUUGAACUGAAACAAAGUCAAAAGUGGGAAGUCCCCCUCUGGCAAGCAGCUCUAAGAUGACAGAGCCGGUGCCAGAAUCUAAACCUUGGGACUCUGGUUGCUGUAUAAAAAAAUAAAUAUUAGGAACAAAAAUAAAUACCCACAUCUCCAUGCUGGACAGCAGAAGAGCAA